UUUGACAAAUCUAAAAGAGAAUAAGGAUUCUCUAUUAUUGGAAUUGACUUUGUUAGACAUGAUUCGAUCUAUGAUGGGAUUUGCAAGUCUGUCAGUCUCUUUUUGAGGUUAUACUCUUAAGACUAUUUGUCAUGUUCUGAGCUAGAUUUCGAACUAAUCAGUCGCAAGGACUCUAUAUGAGAUAUGGACUAUGUUAGAUAUGUGCUUUAGAUGCCAGAUUGGCUGACACAUUCUUGUACAAAUAUAAGGGCAAAUUUAUAAUUUUGACUAUAAAUGAAUAAAAGGGU
rnacentral:lncRNA from 1 species